GAUGAACGCUGGCGGCGCGCCUAAUACAUGCAAGUCGAGCGAACAGACGAGGAGCUUGCUCCUCUGACGUUAGCGGCGGACGGGUGAGUAACACGUGGAUAACCUACCUAUAAGACUGGGAUAACUUCGAGAAACCGGAGCUAAUACCGGAUAAUAUAUUGAACCGCAUGGUUCAAUAGUGAAAGACGGUUUUGCUGUCACUUAUAGAUGGAUCCGCGCCGCAUUAGCUAGUUGGUAAGGUAACGGCUUACCAAGGCAACGAUGCGUAGCCGACCUGAGAGGGUGAUCGGCCACACUGGAACUGAGACACGGUCCAGACUCCUACGGGAGGCAGCAGUAGGGAAUCUUCCGCAAUGGGCGAAAGCCUGACGGAGCAACGCCGCGUGAGUGAUGAAGGUCUUCGGAUCGUAAAACUCUGUUAUUAGGGAAGAACAAAUGUGUAAGUAACUAUGCACGUCUUGACGGUACCUAAUCAGAAAGCCACGGCUAACUACGUG
rnacentral:rRNA from 1 species